GACCAUGGCUCAGGACGAACGCUGGCGGCGUGCUUAACACAUGCAAGUCGAACGAGAAUCUACUGAAGGAGUUUUCGGACAACGGAUGUAGAGGAAAGUGGCGGACGGGUGAGUAACGCGUGAGGAACCUGCCUUGAAGAGGGGGACAACAGUUGGAAACGACUGCUAAUACCGCAUGACGCAUAGGGGUCGCAUGAUCUUUAUGCCAAAGAUUUAUCGCUUCAAGAUGGCCUCGCGU
rnacentral:rRNA from 1 species